rnacentral:rRNA from 1 species
CCUUACCAUCCCUUGACAUCCAGAGAAUUUACUAGAGAUAGUUUAGUGCCUUCGGGAACUCUGAGACAGGUGCUGCAUGGCUGUCGUCAGCUCGUGUUGUGAAAUGUUGGGUUAAGUCCCGCAACGAGCGCAACCCUCAUCCUUAGUUGCCAUCACGUUUGGGUGGGCACUCUAGGGAAACUGCCGGUGCUAAGCCGGAGGAAGGCGGGGAUGACGCCAAGUCCUCAUGGCCCUUACGCGUAGGGCUACACACGUGCUACAAUGGCAGUGACAAUGGGAUAAUCCCCAAAAGCUGUCUCAGUUCGGAUUGUCGGCUGCAACUCGCCGGCAUGAAGUUGGAAUCGCUAGUAAUCGUGGAUCAGCAUGCCACGGUGAAUACGUUCCC